rnacentral:rRNA from 1 species
AGAGUUUGAUCCUGGCUCAGGACGAACGCUGGCGGCGUGCUUAACACAUGCAAGUCGAACGGAAAGGCCCUUCGGGGUACUCGAGUGGCGAACGGGUGAGUAACACGUGGGUGAUCUGCCCUGCACUUUGGGAUAAGCCUGGGAAACUGGGUCUAAUACCGAAUAUGACCACGCGCUUCAUGGUGUGUGGUGGAAAGCUUUUGCGGUGUGGGAUGGGCCCGCGGCCUAUCAGCUUGUUGGUGGGGUAAUGGCCUACCAAGGCGACGACGGGUAGCCGGCCUGAGAGGGUGACCGGCCACACUGGGACUGAGAUACGGCCCAGACUCCUACGGGAGGCAGCAGUGGGGAAUAUUGCACAACGGGCGCAAGCCUGAUGCAGCGACGCCGCGUGAGGGAUGACGGCCUUCGGGUUGUAAACCUCUUUCAAUAGGGACGAAGCGCAAGUGACGGUACCUAUAGAAGAAGGACCGGCCAACUACGUGCCAGCAGCCGCGGUAAUACGUAGGGUCCGAGCGUUGUCCGGAAUUACUGGGCGUAAAGAGCUCGUAGGUGGUUUGUCGCGUUGUUCGUGAAAACUCACAGCUUAACUGUGGGCGUGCGGGCGAUACGGGCAGACUAGAGUACUGCAGGGGAGACUGGAAUUCCUGGUGUAGCGGUGGAAUGCGCAGAUAUCAGGAGGAACACCGGUGGCGAAGGCGGGUCUCUGGGCAGUAACUGACGCUGAGGAGCGAAAGCGUGGGGAGCGAACAGGAUUAGAUACCCUGGUAGUCCAA